UGGGGGAAUAUUGCACAAUGGGCGGAAAGCCUGAUGCAGCGACGCCGCGUGGGGGAUGAAGGCCUUCGGGUUGUAAACUCCUUUCGACAGGGACGAAGCGUAAGUGACGGUACCUGUAUAAGAAGCACCGGCUAACUACGUGCCAGCAGCCGCGGUAAUACGUAGGGUGCGAGCGUUGUCCGGAAUUACUGGGCGUAAAGAGCUCGUAGGUGGUUUGUCGCGUCGUCUGUGAAAUUCCGGGGCUUAACUCCGGGCGUGCAGGCGAUACGGGCUGACUUGAGUGCUGUAGGGGAGACUGGAAUUCCUGGUGUAGCGGUGAAAUGCGCAGAUAUCAGGAGGAACACCGAUGGCGAAGGCAGGUCUCUGGGCAGUAACUGACGCUGAGGAGCGAAAGCAUGGGUAGCGAACAGGAUUAGAUACCCUGGUAGUCCAUGCCGUAAACGGUGGGCGCNUAGGUGUAGGGGGCUUCCACGUCUUCUGUGCCGUAGCUAACGCAUUAAGCGCCCCGCCUGGGGAGUACGACCGCAAGGCUA
rnacentral:rRNA from 1 species